rnacentral:tmRNA from 1 species
GGGGGUGUUCCGGAAUUCGACCUCGAAUCGGAGCAUAGGGCUGCACGUCGAUGAUGAUAGUUAACAUCGUUAAAAUGCUGUCGCACACUUAUUAUAAGUGCCUAUGAUGAAGCAUUACCAAUGGCUGCUUAAACCAGUCAUCGUCUCUACUCUGACGCCUGAUGGGGGAUAGGGACGUCGUUAUCAGGCAUAGCUCCCGCGGUGUAUCCAGCCGGGGGCCGUAUCAUCAAACUGGCUACUGGCGAUUCGAUAGCGGGUCACGCCGCGAUCGGGUUGCGAAAGCAAAAGCGUGACUAAACGUGUAGACGUCGUAUGUGAAGGUUCCAGGGACGCGGGUUCGACUCCCGCCACCUCCACCA